GGACGUAAAAGUCGUAACAAGGUCUCCGUUGGUGAACCAGCGGAGGGAUCAUUACCGAGUUUACAACUCCCAAACCCAAUGUGAACGUUACCAAACUGUUGCCUCGGCGGGAUCUCUGCCCCGGGUGCGUCGCAGCCCCGGACCAAGGCGCCCGCCGGAGGACCAACCAAAACUCUUAUUGUAUACCCCCUCGCGGGUUUUUUACUAUCUGAGCCAUCUCGGCGCCCCUCGUGGGCGUUUCGAAAAUGAAUCAAAACUUUCAACAACGGAUCUCUUGGUUCUGGCAUCGAUGAAGAACGCAGCGAAAUGCGAUAAGUAAUGUGAAUUGCAGAAUUCAGUGAAUCAUCGAAUCUUUGAACGCACAUUGCGCCCGCCAGUAUUCUGGCGGGCAUGCCUGUCCGAGCGUCAUUUCAACCCUCGAACCCCUCCGGGGGGUCGGCGUUGGGGAUCGGCCCUUUACGGGGCCGGCCCCGAAAUACAGUGGCGGUCUCGCCGCAGCCUCUCCUGCGCAGUAGUUUGCACACUCGCAUCGGGAGCGCGGCGCGUCCACAGCCGUUAAACACCCCAAACUUCUGAAAUGUUGACCUCGGAUCAGGUAGGAAUACCCGCUGAACUUAAGCAUAUCAAUAAGCGGAGGA
rnacentral:rRNA from 1 species